CAGCAGUCCCCCGGCACGACACAUGGGCAGUACUCCACCUGCAUGGGGGAUCAUCAGCAGAAAUUAUACCCCUGGAUGAAACAGCAAGCCAUCUCCAGAACACACGGCGCUCCCACCAACCUCACCCCUGACCCCAGGCACCGAUUCCAGGUGGAGAACAAUACCAGUUCAUUGCAACAAUCGAAGUGGCCUGGCUGGGGAUCUUUUCUGCUUCCUGCCACCAGACACGACAAGACAAGACGACUCCCAAUGUUCCAGCCCUCAUCCCCAGCCAGAACACAUCAGGGCAGCAUUACAUCUUUAACAAAGCAAAAGUCUGAGCUGCACGAUAUCACUUCGUGAUGAUAUGGCACAUACGCAAUAAUCACCAGGGCUUCAGAAGAUGGCAUAAAUAUUUGCCUGGACGCAGGCUUUUCGUUACUAUAUGGACUUUUACUCACACAAUUCAGUACGCAGGUUAGUAGUUUGCCUAAAAUAUUAAUGAGAGGCGCAUUGUGAAGCCCAGAAGUUAGCAAUCUGUAUAAAUUCGGCAUAUUGUGUUUAAUAAAGGUGUUGGACUUCUAAUGUCUUUUUUUAUACCUUGUUUAUCCACAAUUUUAUUUUAAAAGAUGCUGCUGAACUGUCCCAUCAUGCCAUUGCUAGAUGAAUUUAAUAAUCAUAAGGAUACGCCAAAUUUAUACAGAUUACUAACUGUUUAAAUGUUGGGUGUCACAAUAUGCCUUAUAUAAAUUAAUAUUUUACAGUUAAUCUGCUUACCAAAUUAUGGAUGUAAGUA